UACGGAGGGUGCGAGCGUUAAUCGGAAUUACUGGGCGUAAAGGGUGCGUAGGCGGAUUAUUAAGUCCGUGGUGAAAUCUUUGGGCUCAACCCAAAAAUUGCCAUUGAUACUAUUAGUCUUGAAUGUAGUUGAGGUGGGCGGAAUGAGUCAUGUAGCGGUGAAAUGCUUAGAUAUGACUCAGAACACCAAUUGCGAAGGCAGCUCACUAAACUAAUAUUGACGCUGAGGCACGAAAGCGUGGGGAGCAAACAGG
rnacentral:misc_RNA from 1 species